CAAUAGCGUAUAUUAAAGUUGUUGCAGUUAAAAAGCUCGUAGUUGGAUUUCGGGGCAGCCUGGCUGGUCCGCCGCAAGGCGAGUACUGGUCAGCCGCCCUUCCUCUCGAAAGCCCCGACUGCUCUUUAUUGCAGUGGUCGGGUAGUUCGGGACGUUUACUUUGAAAAAAUUAGAGUGUUCAAGGCAGGCCUACGCCUGAAUACAUUAGCAUGGAAUAAUGGAAGAGGACCUCGGUCCUAUUUUGUUGGUUUCCAGGACCGAAGUAAUGAUUAAGAGGGACAGUUGGGGGCAUUCGUAUUUAAUUGUCAGAGGUGAAAUUCUCGGAUUUAUGUAAGACGAACAACUGCGAAAGCAUUUGCCAAGGAUGUUUUCAUUAA
rnacentral:rRNA from 1 species